CUACGGGGCGCUGCAGUGAGGAAUAUUGCACAAUGGGGGGAACCCUGAUGCAGCAACGCCGCGUGGAGGAUGACGCAUUUCGGUGUGUAAACUCCUUUUAUAUGUCAAGAAAAUGACGGUAGCAUAUGAAUAAGCACCGGCUAACUCCGUGCCAGCAGCCGCGGUAAUACGGAGGGUGCAAGCGUUACUCGGAAUCACUGGGCGUAAAGGACGCGUAGGCGGGUUGGAAAGUCAGGUGUGAAAUCCUGCAGCUUAACUGUAGAACUGCACUUGAAACUUCUAAUCUAGAGUAUGGGAGGGGGAGAUGGAAUUAGUGGUGUAGGGGUAAAAUCCGUAGAUAUCACUAGGAAUACCUAAAGCGAAGGCGAUCUCCUGGAACAUUACUGACGCUAUGGCGUGAAAGCGUGGGGAGCAAACAGGAUUAGAUACCCCAGUAGUC
rnacentral:rRNA from 1 species